AUUGAACGCUGGCGGCAGGCCUAACACAUGCAAGUCGAGCGGAUGAAGGGAGCUUUCUCCUGGAUUCAGCGGCGGGCGGGUGAGUAAUGCCUAGGAAUCUGCCUGGUAGUGGGGGAUAACGUCCGGAAACGGGCGCUAAUACCGCAUACGUCCUGAGGGAGAAAGUGGGGGAUCUUCGGACCUCACGCUAUCAGAUGAGCCUAGGUCGGAUUAGCUAGUUGGUGGGGUAAAGGCCUACCAAGGCGACGAUCCGUAACUGGUCUGAGAGGAUGAUCAGUCACACUGGAACUGAGACACGGUCCAGACUCCUACGGGAGGCAGCAGUGGGGAAUAUUGGACAAUGGGCGAAAGCCUGAUCCAGCCAUGCCGCGUGUGUGAAGAAGGUCUUCGGAUUGUAAAGCACUUUAAGUUGGGAGGAAGGGCAGUAAGUUAAUACCUUGCUGUUUUGACGUUACCAACAGAAUAAGCACCGGCUAACUUCGUG
rnacentral:rRNA from 1 species